rnacentral:rRNA from 1 species
GAACCUUACCUGGGCUCGAACGGCUGGCUAACGGCGGUGGAAACACCGCUACCCCGCAAGGGGGUCCAGUCGAGGUGCUGCAUGGCUGUCGUCAGCUCGUGUCGUGAGAUGUUGGGUUAAGUCCCGCAACGAGCGCAACCCUUGUCCUGUGUUGCCAUGCCGAAAGGCGGAACUCGCAGGAGACCGCCAGCGAUAAGCUGGAGGAGGGUGGGGAUGACGUCAAGUCCUCAUGGCCUUUAUGUCCAGGGCUACACACGUGCUACAAUGGAUGGUACAAACCGCAGCAAACCCGCGAGGGGGAGCCAAUCGGAAAAAACCGUUCUCAGUUCGGAUUGCAGGCUGCAACUCGCCUGCAUGAAGCUGGAAUCGCUAGUAAUGGCAGAUCAGCACGCUGCCGUGAAUACGUUCCCGGGCCUUGUCACACCGA